rnacentral:rRNA from 1 species
AAAAAAAAAACUAUAAGACUGGGAUAACUUCGAGAAACCGGAGCUAAUACCGGAUAAUAUAUUGAACCGCAUGGUUCAAUAGUGAAAGACGGUUUUGCUGUCACUUAUAGAUGGAUCCGCGCCGCAUUAGCUAGUUGGUAAGGUAACGGCUUACCAAGGCAACGAUGCGUAGCCGACCUGAGAGGGUGAUCGGACAAACGGGAACGGAGACACGAUCUAGAGUCCUAAGGGAGGGAAUAGUAGGGAAUAUUCGCAAAGGGGCGAAAGCAGGACGGAGAAAUGGCGUUUGUUUUUUU